AUGGGAGAGAGCAUAGAAAACCAUGCUCAAGCUCAGAUUCCUGCUAACCAGAUCUCACUGCUAGUUCACCAGUCAUCAGAUUAUAGAAGACCAUCAGGUUGGCUAAGCAGGGUUCCCCCUCAUGCUGAAUAUGUAUCCUUUUUAACUGCCUUUCCCAGACUCUCCUUUGAAGUUCUUAUUUGCUGCUCUGGAGGCUCAGUAGAGCUGUCUGAAGGGCUACAAUUACAGCAUGCUCCACUAGUUCUGUCAGAGGUCUCCCCAAGGAAUGUCUCUUUCCACAGAGCGCUGAGAUCUACUUCCUGACGGACACAAACACACUCCUGUGCGGCUGCCAGCCACCGCUGGCUGGGACUCCUCCACGCAGCGAGUUUCAGACCUGGGCCUCUGGCACCUUCACCGUGCUCACCCAGAUCACAGAGAUCACAUGUUACAAACCCGUUCAAGACUUCACACUAUUGAUAGGCUCUGCUUUUGCACAGAGGAGAUCAUCCAGUUAGAAAUAAAGACAGUAAACAACUAACGCGCUGACUUGGUGCGCCUGAGUUGCCGAGUACCCGGGGAUGUCUUUGUGCUCCUUUGUAUUUCUGAUGUGGUUAUUUAAUUACCACGCUCGCUGUGAAGAGGCAGCUAAGUGUCACAGAAGACUAAUAUACAUGGAGUCUAGACGUGCGCAGGCUGAAACCAGAGGCUUCAGUUUCUCACUUCUCAGCGAUACGGGAGUUUCUGUUUCUGAAAGUAUUUAGUGGUUCCAUCACAUUUUUAGGUUUUCUGUAAACGAAAGAUGUGGUCCUCCUCCGCUGUGUUGUGACAUCUUGCAAAAUGCGAAUUACUCUUUAAAAACAGUAGGGAAAGUUGAUGGGAAAUUGUGUAUUUACGUACACUAUAUGUACAUACACUAUCUAUCUGUACGUGUCUGUAUAUAUAUAUAUAUAUAUGCAUAUAUAUAUAUAUAUAUAUAAAGUUUCAGUUACUAUGUAAGCUCAUUACAAACCCCCCACAGUUUAAUGCUCUUUUAAAUUUCUUUGCACAGGAAUAUUCUUACAAUUAAGCACGCAGCAGGUGACUGAGAAGGCUGAGCUUUUAUGUAUUACAAAGGAGGCAGCUCUGAUCUGAGAAUGGCUCCUUUUUUUCCCCCUCAAAAUAGGGAUGUUAUAAAAUUCUAACUACAUUUGCCUCUCUCUAAGCUUUUCACCACUUUAUUGUAAAUACUAAGUUCUGAGGUGUGUGAACCACAUGUGUAUUUGGGACUGGCAGAAGAGCUGUGGGAUUGCCAGAGCUCUUAGCAUCACAGUCUUUUCCUGCAGUAGCUGUGCCUUGACUUAGGAGCUGUCUCCCAUUUCACUUCUUAAUGGUAACCCAGAGUGUGACCAAUUCAUAAUGAUUUUGUUUAUGUGCAGGCAGGAAUUAAUUUGAUUUGUUAUGAAGGAAUGGCAGAAUCGUGUCUAAAGUUGUGUCCAUUAAACAGAAUGUAGACUCACAUGCUUCUGAAAUCAACUGUAACAGCAAUCAAUGUCUGUUAUCAAGUAUGCUUCCAUUGCCCAGUCAGGAACAGAAGCGGAUGCGGCUGUUUGCUGUUUGGUACCAACACAAACUUCCAGGAAGAAACAGUGAGAACUGCUGCAGUCUCCAUCAAAAUUUGGCCCUUUUUUCAGAAGUGUAAUCUGUUUCACAUACUGAAAGAAGUGAAAAAAAAAAAAAAAAAAAAAAAAAAAAAAAACCAGAUGGUUGUGUAAUUUCUCUCACUUUCUUUUAACUUUGAGGCUUCAGCUCACAGUGUGAAAGUAGGAGACAGGAGGUUAGUGCAUGAUUUUGUCCUUCUGCUAGUCUGCCUGUGCCAAAAAGCCCUGUGGCAGACAGAACUGUGCUCCUGAGCAGGUCUUCCCUUGAGUGAGCCUGGAGACGUCAUGGAAGUGUUGCAUGGUGUCUGCAAGUCAUUGCUGCUGUGCCCUUUGCCUAAGGACAAGAAGUUGAGUCCUUCACCAGGACAUCAUAAUAGGAGUGAUUACCAGAAGUACAGGGGACAGGCUUGUUCCACGUACUUACCAUCAUGAGUCACUGUUGCACUGUGUCAUGUAUUCCAGCCCUGUGGUGUCAGGUUAAGGUGUGACAGUUAAUUUUGAUAAGCAGGAAGCAAGUGUCUACAAAUCACUGCCACCUCCAAAAGGGGCUAUUAGAAGAUCGUAUCUUCUCAUCCAUUUCAUAGUGACUUGCCCUGGUGUCUGUUACGGUUAAGGAUUCCUUUCACGCCCAUAGUUGCAGUAAGCAUGGGUACAAAGUGCUGUGUUCUGUUUCUAGGCAUCACUGCUGUGGGGACUUGGACAUCCGUAGCAACUGGUAGACAUUUUGUCUUCAUUUAGCUCCAUUGCAGUUGAAUUAAAAAAAUAAAAAUAAAAAUGCUUAC
ensembl:lncRNA